UCACACCUCGCAGUCAAGGAACAUACAAUAGCGAAUAUACUCCAGGAGGCUGGAGGGAGGCCAGGGAGGCAAGAGGGCACCCCGCUCCCAGGUUCUCUGGCUCUGCAGUGUCAAACAGUAAGUGUGUAACUCCAGCUGCGAUGGUCCACCUCAGUCAGGAAGAUACAAGAGAACGACAGGGGCAUUCCUAGGCAUAGAACAUGCUAGAACUUAGAGACCAGGCCUGCGAGCGGGAAGAAGGGAUCAGAAAUCAGGAGGCUUGAUGCUCUGCAUUCAACCUAGUUUCCACACCCCAUAGCUUGAAAGCCUCGACACUUGAAGGUCAAAGAGGACUUUAUGGCAAACAGUGGUACCACCUUCCGUGAUGCGGAAUACAUUUUGAAAACUUGAUGAUGUAGCAAUGGACCCAAAAGAGUUUUGAAUCAAUUCAGAGAUGAUAAGUCCAUUAUGUAUUAGGAAGGACGCUAUUAUGUACCUUUAACCAAGUUCUCUGCCAGGGGACCUCUUGACAUCCUAAUUAAAGAAAGAAUCCAGGGCUGGAAGGAUGGUGGUUCUGGGGGCCUGUGCCCUUUCUCUGAUGUGGCAGGAAAAUUCAGGUUUGGCGUGCAUCAGUCCUGAGUGAGACACGGAGUCCUACUCUUCCUCUCUGCCUUCAACCUUUCUGGGGCACUCUUACUGGAACACCUCUCUACCUACUCCAGGUGAUCAUUAAAUAGUCAAACAACUGAUCCAUGAACUUUCAACACUAAGUGACUGACAAGUUCCUACAGAUACAAGGAAAAGGGAAAACAGUGAUCAUUUCCCCAAAGCAAAUGGAGUUUUAGACAGACCUGGAAUAAAAUCUCAUCGGUGUCACCCAAAGCAAGUCACAAAGGAGCUAGUCACGAAUAGUUAACAUAAAGAUAGGAUGAGAUGAUCUUUCA